rnacentral:rRNA from 1 species
AGUGAACGCUGGCGGUAGGCCUAACACAUGCAAGUCGAACGGCAGCACAGUAAGAGCUUGCUCUUACGGGUGGCGAGUGGCGGACGGGUGAGGAAUACAUCGGAAUCUACUUUUUCGUGGGGGAUAACGUAGGGAAACUUACGCUAAUACCGCAUACGACCUACGGGUGAAAGCAGGGGAUCUUCGGACCUUGCGCGAUUGAAUGAGCCGAUGUCGGAUUAGCUAGUUGGCGGGGUAAAGGCCCACCAAGGCGACGAUCCGUAGCUAGUCUGAGAGGAUGAUCAGCCACACUGGAGCUGAGACACGGUCCAGACUCCUACGGGAGGCAGCAGUGGGGAAUAUUGGACAAUGGGCGCAAGCCUGAUCCAGCCAUACCGCGUGGGUGAAGAAGGCCUUCGGGUUGUAAAGCCCUUUUGUUGGGAAAGAAAAGCAGCAGGUUAAUACCCCGCUGUUCUGACGGUACCCAAAGAAUAAGCACCGGCUAACUUCGUG